UACGGAGGGUGCAAGCGUUAUCCGGAUUCACUGGGUUUAAAGGGUGCGUAGGCGGGCAGGUAAGUCAGUGGUGAAAUCUCCGAGCUUAACUCGGAAACUGCCAUUGAUACUAUUUGUCUUGAAUACCGUGGAGAUGAGCGGAAUAUGUCAUGUAGCGGUGAAAUGCUUAGAUAUGACAUAGAACACCAAUUGCGAAGGCAGCUCGUUACACGAAUAUUGACUCUGAGGCACGAAAGCGUGGGGAUCAAACAGG
rnacentral:rRNA from 1 species